GAUUCUGUCACACACUGGCAAAAACAUAUUGGCAUUUUGGGGGAAGGGAUCCACUGAGGCGACACUUUUGGUGUAUCAAGUAUAUAAGGUUUGCACUCAAGACUGACAUUUACCGUAAUGGAAGCUGUUCAUAUGCCCCCAGGAAAGAAUGAACAAUUUAAUAGAAAAUGCUAAAGGAGUGAUAUUAGGGGGAGUUCCAUGUCUCCAGACCUUGUGCUGAUGAUCUCUGCCCUGCACAGUACGUUGCUGCUCAUUUCCAGAAGAGACCAAGAUAACUUCUCAGACUUCUCAAAUCUACUUGCCCUACUUGACAACACAUGUUGGCUGGGCUGACUGGAUCAAGAUUCUAUAAGCAGGAUCCUCACGGUUUCAAGUCCUUGCUGUUUUGGAUGAGACAGAGGCUAUUUCCUGCUCCCAUAACCACUCACUUCUUGCUGUGAAGCUUUCCUAGGCUGUUCUUGCUAAUACUAACAAAAUUAAUUAUGCUUAUCUGAUGACAAGUAUACAACCUAAAAUGCCAUCUUUAUAAAUAAGGCAAUAUUCAAUGGAGUGUGAUUUAUGGCCUUUCAUUUUUCCUAUACACCCUAUGUGCCAUAUAAAAUCUGGCUUUACAGUUUCAUAGAGGCUAUAAUCCCUUUCAGAGGGAAUAAAUCAUUUCCAAACAUAAUAUAAAAUAAGGAGUUAUAUUCACAUACUGGCAAAGGAAAUAAAUUGAUUAUAAAAUGUAAGAGAGUGACUGAUGAUUUCUCCCUGUGUCUGAACUAUUAAAGUGUUUUUGAAUAGACUAGACAAUAUUAAAGAAUUUCUAUAAACAUGAGAUUAUAAUUUAUAAAUUAAAAAAGAAAAAUUACAUUGAAAACUAUAACAAAAUAAUAAACAUUAUAAUAUAUAAAAAGUUAUUGUAAAUCAAUGUGAAUAAAUGCAUAAAGGUCAUAAAGUCACAAAAGAAGAAAUACAAACAGUCAAUAAAUACAUUAAAAUAAGUUUAAUCUCACAAUUAUUAACCAAAG
rnacentral:lncRNA from 1 species